GUGGUCCAUGAGUAAACAUCGGUUUCUUGUCAUUUUGACAACGUAGAAUUGGUUUCUUAUUUUUUUUCACAAUUAAAUAUAAAGGCUAUAUCCAAUAUGGAACUAUAAUUGGAGUGGCAGCGCUCUGUUGCUACUAGAGGCACACUUGAAGCUGGAAAUGGCUUCACUGUAGAACAAAUCGCCACAUUGUGAGGGGAGGAAAGUUUGUUUUUCUUUUGAAUUCGACGUUGGAAAAGAGAAAGUAAAGGAAAACGUCCAAUCUCACUUUUCUCAAUUUUUAUUUAACCAAUUUCGAUGAAAUGUUUUUCUUCGAUGCGGAACAUGAUUAUAACAAACUUCUGAAAUGGCGGUUAGAGUAAAGGAAAAGAGUGAUUCUGUUAUAUUAAUUCUGACAAAAAGACAUUCUACCAUUAAGAAAACGUUGCGAGAAGAGUUUCAACUCUCGACUUCUCUCUCGAGAAAAGCUGCAGUCGCAUCUUCUAGCAAGCAAUAUGAGAAUUACAGUAGAACACAGUUGCUGUUAAGGUUAAUGGGACGAGGUUAGGAAGAAAAUGAAGCCGGAAUGGUAUUGUUAUCGUUUAAGAAAAGCACAACAAUUGCAUUGGAGGUCGAUUCGUUUAUACUACGAAUUAUUAAAUGGCACCCUGUUUUAAUCAUUAUUUUUUUUUGUUUAUUCUUAUUAUAUAAUAUUUUUAAAAAAUCAUCUUAAAAAUUUGCAUAAAUUUGUUUUUAAAUAUAUAUGUAUAUACAUCUUGGGAGUGCAAAGAAAGAAUCGUGAUGAUUUAUACUCAAUAAACUAAACAAAAAAAUUGCCUAGAUAAAUCUCUUUAUUGUUCUAUGUUGUUAGAAAAAGCACAAAAGAACGUUUUAAGCCAAAAACAUCGUAAAAGUGUCUAGUAGUCGAGCGAAGAAAAUUGCUCUGUCACCGUACUUCUUUAAGCAGAAGGCUGUUGUUAUGAUAGUCUUCAACAUAAAAAUAUAAGU